UUGUUACUAUUUAAAAGCAGGGCAGCUGCUGCUCACAGAAACACAAUCUCUAUUAGAGCUGACAGUUUUCUUUCUCCUGCUGUCUGUUUGUUUCCGUGUCCCAACAUCCGUGAAGGUAUGCAAAUCUCUGCAGGCAUGGCUAUAGUGGAGGAGAAGCUUAUUCAAUUGUAAUGAACCUGGAAAGUGAUGGUGUCUCCUUCUGAGUCAUAACCCCAUAAGCACACUGAACCCUCAAGAGGGAAAGAAAACUCUGUGCUGCUGAGAUGCUAUUUGAGCAUAAUUGCCUGAUUGACUCAGCAACGAGAGAAAUUGUGAUGCAGUCGUGAAAAAUAAUCGCAGGACUGUUUCAUUUCCCAGCAGGCUCAGGCUUUGUGAUGCAGAAAUUUCUAGCGCUUCAGCCUGAGGAAAGUGUUCCCAGGACCCCAUUUCAGUUUACAGUUGCUUGGAUGGUUACUUUUUUGUCAGAAUGUUGGGUAUCCUGUUUAUUUAACGUACUGUUUUCCAAAUGAGUUUUGAGUUGGGUUAUAUUUCUACAUAAUGGGGAGUACUUGGUUCUCUUUUUUUACUUCUAUACUGCGCUCUAAACAGUAUUUGCCAUUCGGAAAGCAUGUUUUAUUCAUUUGUCAGUAUUCUGCUUUUAUGGUUUGAUUAAUGCAAGUUAUUAACAGCACUGAAAGUUGCAGCCUACCUAUCCUAAUUACAGUAUACUGUAAAUAACUACUUACAGUAUGGGUCAGCAAAGUGGGGGGUUUCUUUAAGCUGCUUCCCCAAUAGAUCUGUUUAUUUUAGUAGCCUAUUGAGAGAUCUAAUCAAACAACUAUAAACCAGUAUUCAAAAUGGUUUGGUGAUUCUUCUGAAUAAUGACAUCUUGGGACAGUAUAGAGAUAAGAAUUCAGACAGCCUGUGCAAGAAAGAUGCCUGAAUAAAGCUGUAAAAAAACAGUCAAUUGGAACCCUUUAAGGGCGA